rfam:Jiangella alkaliphila strain DSM 45079 genome assembly, chromosome: I
CGAGAGUGCCUUCCGCAGCAGUGGCGAUCAGGACCUAGACAAUCCAGAUCCUCCCUGCACAGAAGGCACUUUCUUCGUCACCACACCGAACGACCAGCCAGCCAGUCCACGGAUCGAG